ACACACCCACCCAUUACAGCCCCCCGACCCGCGGUGCUGCACCCCAAAGCCGCAGUGGGGUCGGGGUGUUGGUGUGAGCACGCUGGGCCGGGUGUGCAGCGCCCUGCAGUGCCGUGCAGUGAUCCCCUGCUCUGCACACCGCCUGUCCCGCUAUGGGAUGCUCCGCUCCCCAAAGAAUUGCGGGUGCCCUCGGGGUGCUCCGUGCUGAUGAGUGCUGAUGGGAGCUCCUCCAGAUGGAGCGGAGGGGUCGGGGCGGGCGCUGCUCCCGCUGCAGUUCACAGCAGUGGUGUGAGGUGAGGGCACAACCCGCCGUGUGUGCGCCUGAAAGGGAAGUCCUGGCAGCUGUGCAGUGUAACAGUGAUAAUUGGGCAGUGGGGGGGUGAGAGGGGGGGGCGGGAAGGGGGAACAGGAAUAGGGGCACAGCAAGGGCAGGGGGUGUGCUGGGCUGGGGCUGAUCCUUCCCAGGGCUUCUCCCUCUUGGGGCUUCUCUCUUUGAGGUCUUUUCCCUUUGGGGUUUUCUCCCUUUGAGGUCUUCUCCCUUUGGGGUCUUCUACCUUUGGGAUCUCCUCCCUUUGGGUACUUCCCCCUUUGGGUACUUCUCCCUUUGGGGUAUUCUCCCUGUAGGGUCUUUUCCCUUUGAUGUCCUUGAGGUCAGGGAUGCUGAGCUGGGGCUAACACACCACUGCCCUCAUUGAUUGCAUUCAGGAGGGGGAGGAAUUCUGCACUUCAACCCGAAGGGGACAAAACCACCAAAAAUAGGGCUGCAACCCUUGGAAAAACCACAUUUUCUCCUUUAAUCGGGGCCCCUUCGUUGUGGCAUUUGGAGCCAAAGGAAGGCCUGGUUGAUCAGCCUUGCGGAGGUCAUUUUUCCAGGAGGGGACACCCGGGUGCCACCGUCCCCAUCCCGGUGUGUCCCCUCUGCCCAUCAGCUCCACUCAAAGCAAAAACCCUCCACCCUCCGCCUCCCGGCUUUGAAACCCGACCCAUGGCCCAGCUCGCUCCCUGUCUGCUCCCAUUAUUAAUAAACUUUGAAGGGCUCCCUUCUGUCCUUAAUGA
rnacentral:lncRNA from 1 species